CAAGAAUUUGAGGAAGUUUCAAUUCCUCCUUACUUGAUGACUGGAUCUUCAGAUGCAUUGUUCGAUUAUAUUGCUGAAGCACUUGCUAAAUUUGUUGCUACAGAAGGUGAAGGAUUGCAUCCUUCACCUGGUCANNNNNNNNNUUACCUUUUCAUUUCCAGUUCGGCAAACAUCAAUAGCAUCAGGAACUCUUAUAAAAUGGACAAAAGGCUUCUCCAUAGAGGACACGUUUGGGCAAGAUGUGGUGGGAGAGUUGACAAAAGCCAUGGAAAGAGAAAAGAGUUGGCCUUGACAUGCGUGUGGCUGCUUUGGUCAAUGAUACGAUUGGAACAUUAGCUGGAGGUAGAUACUGCAACCAGGACGUUAUUGCUGCUGUAAUCUUGGGAACUGGAACAAAUGCAGCAUAUGUAGAGCGAGCACAAGC
rnacentral:misc_RNA from 1 species